GACGAACGCUGGCGGCGUGCCUAACACAUGCAAGUCGAACGAAGCAUUUAAGUGAAUCCCUUCGGGGUGAAGCUUUUAUGACUUAGUGGCGGACGGGUGAGUAACGCGUGAGUAACCUGCCUUUCAGAGGGGGAUAACAGUUGGAAACGACUGCUAAUACCGCAUAACGUACAUUUAUCGCAUGGUAGAUGUACCAAAGCUGAGGCGCUGAAAGAUGGACUCGCGUCUGAUUAGCUAGUUGGUGAGGUAACGGCUCACCAAGGCGACGAUCAGUAGCCGGCCUGAGAGGGUGACCGGCCACAUUGGGACUGAGACACGGCCCAAACUCCUACGGGAGGCAGCAGUGGGGAAUAUUGCACAAUGGGGGAAACCCUGAUGCAGCAACGCCGCGUGAGUGAAGAAGUAUUUCGGUAUGUAAAGCUCUAUCAGCAGGGAAGAAAAUGACGGUACCUGACUAAGAAGCCCCGGNUAACUACGUGCCAGCAGCCGC
rnacentral:rRNA from 1 species